CCUUUGUACACACCGCCCGUCGCUACUACCGAUUGAAUGGCUUAGUGAGGCCUUCGGAUUGAGUUUCAGAAACUGGCAACAGCUUUUGAUUUUCGAAAAGUUGGUCAAACUUGGUCAUUUAGAGG
rnacentral:rRNA from 1 species